AUUGAACGCUGGCGGCAGGCCUAACACAUGCAAGUCGAGCGAGCGGGGGACGGGUGAGUAAUGUCUGGGCGACUGCGUGACGUAGGGGGAUAACUACUGGAAACGGUAGAUACUACAGCAUACACUCCGAUGUGACCAGAUGGGGUUAGCUCGUAGGUGGGGUAACGGCUCACCCAGGCGACGAUCCCUAGCUGGUCUGAGAGGAUGACCAGCCACACUGGAACUGAGACACGGCCCAGACUCCUACGGGAGGCAGCAGUGGGGAAUAUUGCACAAUGGGCGCAAGCCUGAUGCAGCCAUGCCGCGUGUUUGAAGAAGGCCUUCGGGUGGUAAAGCACUUUCAGUGGGGAGGCGUUACCCGCAGAAGAAGCACCGGCUAACUCCGUGCCAGCAGCCGCGGUAAUUC
rnacentral:rRNA from 1 species